GGAAUAGGCUAUACUGGGGCAUACCAAUUUAAAACAAAAUUAUAAACUUAGUGUAUUUUUAAUCAUUCACUCUGUUCUGUUUUCUUUGCAUUUGUGUCACAGGGUAUAUGCAUGGGCCACAUGAUCUAAUGUACCAAACAGGUGAAUGUGCUUGAGGGGUAGAAAAGAAUGAAGAUACCCAAAAAGAAUGACCAAAAGUCAAUACUGUCUUUGAUGCUAUGACCAGUUUCUGGAGAAGGAAGCCAUAUCUAUUUCCUAGAGAAGAAAUGUUCAAGUGUCCGUGGAAGGAAGAGAUGAUUAAAGCUGCAGUACAGGAGACUGUCUUCCCUUAGAAAGUGAGCUGGGAGGAGAAAGUCAAUACUAAGGAAUCUUCUGAAUACUGAAGGUAUUUGAGCCUUUCAAAGUCGCUGCUGAGUCACUAAAGUGAAAACUGAAUGAUACUCACGUGGAAAGUUUAAGGUUGUAUUUUCUUCCUUGACUUCAGGUAAGCAAGAUCAAAAAUUCCUUACUCUAGUUUUCUGCACAUAUUUCUGAAAAAAAAAUGA
rnacentral:lncRNA from 1 species